UACGUAGGGGGCUAGCGUUGUCCGGAAUCAUUGGGCGUAAAGCGCGUGUAGGCGGCCCGGUAAGUCCGCUGUGAAAGUCGGGGGCUCAACCCUCGGAUGCCGGUGGAUACUGUCGGGCUUGAGUACGGAAGAGGCGAGUGGAAUUCCUGGUGUAGCGGUGAAAUGCGCAGAUAUCAGGAGGAACACCGGUGGCGAAGGCGGCAUCCUGGACCGGCAUUGACGCUGAGGCGCGAAAGCCAGGGGAGCAAACGGG
rnacentral:rRNA from 1 species